GGUGAACGCUGGCGGCGUGCUUAACACAUGCAAGUCGAACGGGAAACCUUUUAUUGAAGCUUCGGCAGAUUUAGCUGGUUUCUAGUGGCGGACGGGUGAGUAACGCGUGGGUAACCUGCCUUAUACAGGGGGAUAACAGUCAGAAAUGGCUGCUAAUACCGCAUAAGCGCACAGAGCUGCAUGGCUCAGUGUGAAAAACUCCGGUGGUAUAAGAUGGACCCGCGUUGGAUUAGCUGGUUGGCGGGGUAACGGCCCACCAAGGCGACGAUCCAUAGCCGGCCUGAGAGCAUGGGCAGGGAGAAUGGGAGUGAGACACGGACCAGACUCCUACGGGAGGCAGCAGUGGGGAAUAUAGGAAGAUGGGAGAAAGCAUGAAACAGCAAUGCCGCGUGAGUGAUGAAGGCGGUAGGGUUGUAAAGCUCUUUUACCCGGGAGGAUAAUGACAGUACCGGGAGAAUAAGCGCCGGCUAACUCCGUG
rnacentral:rRNA from 1 species